UGGGGAAUUUUGGACAAUGGGCGAAAGCCUGAUCCAGCAAUGCCGCGUGUGUGAAGAAGGCCUUCGGGUUGUAAAGCACUUUUGUCCGGAAAGAAAUCCUUGGCUCUAAUACAGUCGGGGGAUGACGGUACCGGAAGAAUAAGCACCGGCUAACUACGUGCCAGCAGCCGCGGUAAUACGUAGGGUGCAAGCGUUAAUCGGAAUUACUGGGCGUAAAGCGUGCGCAGGCGGUUUGCUAAGACCGAUGUGAAAUCCCCGGGCUCAACCUGGGAACUGCAUUGGUGACUGGCAGGCUAGAGUAUGGCAGAGGGGGGUAGAAUUCCACGUGUAGCAGUGAAAUGCGUAGAGAUGUGGAGGAAUACCGAUGGCGAAGGCAGCCCCCUGGGCCAAUACUGACGCUCAUGCACGAAAGCGUGGGGGAGCAAAACAGGAUUAGAUACCCUGGUAGUCCACGCCCUAAACGAUGUCAACUAGUUGUUGGGGAUUCAUUUCCUUAGUAACGUAGCUAACGCGUGAAGUUGACCGCCUGGGGGAGUA
rnacentral:rRNA from 1 species